UUGAACGCUGGCGGCAGGCCUAACACAUGCAAGUCGAGCGAACCUAGCUUGCUAGGUGAGCGGCGAACGGGAGAGUAACACGUAGGAAUCUGCCGGAUAGUGGGGGACAACGUCUCGAAAGGGAAGCUAAUACAGCAUACGCCCUAAGGGGGAAAGCAGGGGAUCUUCGGACCUUGCGCUAACGGAUGAGCCGGGGUCGGGUUUGCUAGUUGGCGGGGUAAAGGCCCACCAAGGCGACGAUACGUAGCUGGUCUGAGAAGAUGAUCAGCCACACCGGAACUGAGACACGGUCCGGACUCCUACGGGAGGCAGCAGUGGGGAAUAUUGGACAAUGGGGGCAACCCUGAUCCAGCCAUGCCGCGUGUGUGAAGGAGGCCUUCGGGUUGUAAAGCACUUUAAGCGGGGAGGAAAGUUCGCUGGCUAAUAUCCAGCGGAAUUGACGUUACCCGCAGAAUAAGCACCGGCUAACUCCGUGCCAGCAGCCGCAGUAA
rnacentral:rRNA from 1 species